rnacentral:rRNA from 1 species
GACGAACCGUGCGACCGUUGUUCGGAAUCACUGGGCUUAAAGCGCGUGUAGGCGGCCAUCUAAGUCGGGCGUGAAAUCCCACGGCUCAACCGUGGAAGUGCACUCGAAACUGGAUGGCUAGAGUCCUGGAGAGGAAGGUGGAAUGCUUGGUGUAGAGGUGAAAUUCGUAGAUAUCAAGCGGAACACCGGUGGCGAAGGCGGCCUUCUGGACAGUGACUGACGCUGAGACGCGAAAGCGUGGGGAGCAAACAGG